UUAAUACUCUCUCCGUCCCAAAAUUUUUGUCUUAGAUUUGUCUAGAUACGGAUGUACCUAAUACUAAAACGUGACUUGAUACAUCCAUAUUUAGAUAAAUUUAAGACAAAAUUUUUGGGACGGAGGGAGUACAAG
rnacentral:pre_miRNA from 1 species